GAACAUGGACACGUGAGACCCCAUUAGUUUCUCAAUGUUGUUGUGUACAUUUUGUUUUUUAUACUGUUUGAUAGUAGUAUAAAUAUAAAAAACAAAACGAUUCCCAUCAAUUUAUUUAAAAAUCUUUUUAUGUUCUUAAGAAAAAAUAGAUUACAUUGAUAGAAGUGGGGAAUCGUGGUCCAGCUUUGGCUUUUAUAAUGUCAACAAGCUCAAAAAGGGGGCUUCACUAUUUUUAUUUUCUUCCAAAAAGAAACUUCUAUAUUAAGCAAGUGUUUCUCUCCUUUUUUAUUUAAUUUUCUCGAGUGGGCUGCUAAAUUUGGAACUAAUCAAUCGUGCUGGGGGCAAGAUAUGUUUUGCCAUGAAGAUCUCUCUCUUUUUGGUUUAUAAAAGUCAUACUUUUUGUUGUCAAUUUGAACAAAGGACCAACGGUGGGAUCUGAUCAUGUUUGAUGUUUCUGACAAAAAAUUAUAUUCGAAAUAGAUUUGAUUUUGCCUUUCUUUCUCAUUUCUUAUGU